rnacentral:tRNA from 1 species
GAGAGCAUCGUUUAAGUGGUAAAACGUUAAUCUGUCACGUUAAUAAUAUGGGUUCAAGCCCCAUUGCUCUCG